GACGAACGCUGGCGGCGUGCCUAAUACAUGCAAGUCGAGCGGACCAAAGGGAGCUUGCUCCUGGAGGUCAGCGGCGAACGGGUGAGUAACACGUGGGCAACCUGCCUGUAAGACUGGGAUAACAUCGAGAAAUCGGUGCUAAUACCGGAUAAUAAAAAGAACUGCAUGGUUCUUUUUUGAAGAUGGUUUCGGCUAUCACUUACAGAUGGGCCCGCGGCGCAUUAGCUAGUUGGUGAGGUAACGGCUCACCAAGGCAACGAUGCGUAGCCGACCUGAGAGGGUGAUCGGCCACACUGGGACUGAGACACGGCCCAGACUCCUACGGGAGGCAGCAGUAGGGAAUCUUCCGCAAUGGACGAAAGUCUGACGGAGCAACGCCGCGUGAGUGAUGAAGGUUUUCGGAUCGUAAAACUCUGUUGUUAGGGAAGAACAAGUGCCGUUCGAAAGGGCGGCACCUUGACGGUACCUAACGAGAAAGCCACGGCUAACUACGUGCCAGCAGCCG
rnacentral:rRNA from 1 species